CGCGGGGUGGAGGAGUGGUACCUCGUCAGGCUCAUAACCUGAAGAUAGCCGGUUCGAUUCCGGCCCCCGCAA
rnacentral:tRNA from 1 species